rnacentral:rRNA from 1 species
GACGAACGCUGGCGGCGUGCUUAACACAUGCCAGUCGAACGGAAAGGCCCUGCUUUUGUGGGGUGCUCGAGUGGCGAACGGGUGAGUAACACGUGGGUAACCUGCCCUUGACUUUGGGAUAACUUCAGGAAACUGGGGCUAAUACCGGAUAGGAGCUCCUGCUGCAUGGUGGGGGUUGGAAAGUUUCGGCGGUUGGGGAUGGACUCGCGGCUUAUCAGCUUGUUGGUGGUGUAGUGGCUUACCAAGGCUUUGACGGGUAGCCGGCCUGAGAGGGUGACCGGCCACAUUGGGACUGAGAUACGGCCCAGACUCGUACGGGAGGCAGCAGUGGGGAAUAUUGCACAAUGGGCGGAAGCCUGAUGCAGCAACGCCGCGUGCGGGAUGACGGCCUUCGGGUUGUAAACCGCUUUCGCCUGUGACGAAGCGUGAGUGACGGUAAUGGGUAAAGAAGCACCGGCUAACUACGUG